AUUCUUGAUUUCUGUGUGUGUCUAAAUUAUGCUGUAGUUCUAAAGAAUCUAUGCACACAUUUUUUUUUUUUUUUUUUUCACAUUUUAACCUCAGGUCAGAGUCUCUUUAAACAGAGCCGGUUUAGAGUGAUUCUGUGCUCAAGAAGUCUGUUUAGGACACAUUCAGCUACACAUGAACAUAACUGAGUAUAAGACAAGAACAUCAUUUACACCGCUUGUGUGAAUGUUCAACAUAAAACCUGUAACCUGCAAGCCCAGUAUCAUGCUCUGGUCAGUCCUGUCUCAAACAAGCUGCACCCGUGAUCUAAUCUGAUAUUUAGCUCAGAGUGAUCAGACUGAUUGAUCUGAUUGUUUAUCUCCUGUGUUUUCAGACUCUUCUCCGAUCGUCUCUCUGGUUCCGGUUCUUCUGGUUCUGGUUCCUCUGGUUCUGAUCAUCGUUGGUCUCUUACUACUGUUUCUCUGCGGUGAUUCGUCAUCUCAGACUGGAGCAGGAAAACAUGAAGCAGUUUCUCACACUGGAUGUGAUUAUGAGGAGAUUCAAGACACUCACAAACAAUUACCCACAAACCCCUCUGAUUCAUCUAACACUGUUUAUGCAUCUGCUCAAUUACCCACAAACCCCUCUGAUUCUUCAGUUUACUCUACAGUUCAGGAAGCCUCUGGUGACUCUCAGAUCUUCAUCACAUCUGGGGCCCGUUGCACAAAAGUAGAAUUAAGACAUCCAGGAUAAAUGACUGAGCUGAGCUCAAUGAAGCCAAAACAAGUGCAUCCAGGCUUAAUUGGUUGCACAAAGACCAAGCCAGGAUGAGAAGACACGGAUUCAUCAAGCCAGAUGAAACCAAUCCUGGAUAGGUGCGCGCUCACGGCUCACUCACUAAUUCUAAUGGAGGCAUACAAGGAGUUAAAAGAAAUAAUUAAGAAGAAAGGCAACACCGCCACAGUGAUAAAGCACAGAGAAAAAGC